UAGAACAAGCUAAGAUCUUUCUAAGAUAGGC
rnacentral:piRNA from 1 species